rnacentral:tRNA from 1 species
AAGGCCUUAGCUUAAUUAAAGUGUUUGAUUUGCAUUCAUUUAAUGUAGGGUAAAAUCCUGCAGGUCUUAUA